rnacentral:rRNA from 1 species
UGAUGCACGAAAGCGUGGGGAUCGAACAGGAUUAGAUACCCUGGUAGUCCACGCCGUAAACGAUGAUCACUCGCUGUAUGCGAUACACAGUAUGCGGCCAAGCGAAAGCAUUAAGUGAUCCACCUGGGGAGUACGAUCGCAAGGUUGAAACUCAAAGGAAUUGACGGGGGCCCGCACAAGCGGAGGAACAUGUGGUUUAAUUCGAUGAUACGCGAGGAACCUUACCUGGGCUUAAAUGUAGAGUGCAUUUUCUAGAGAUAGAAAUUCCCUUCGGGGCUUUCUGCAAGGUGCUGCAUGGUUGUCGUCAGCUCGUGCCGUGAGGUGUCGGGUUAAGUCCCAUAACGAGCGCAACCCCUAUCGUUAGUUGCCAGCGGGUCAAGCCGGGGACUCUAGCGAGACUGCCACCGUAAGGUGAGAGGAAGGUGGGGAUGACGUCAAAUCAGCACGGCCCUUAUGUCCAGGGCUACACACGUGUUACAAUGGCCGGUACAGAGGGCAGCUACCUGGUGACAGGAUGCUAAUCUCGAAAACCGGUCUCAGUUCGGAUCGAAGUCUGCAACUCGACUUCGUGAAGCUGGAUUCGCUAGUAAUCGCGCAUCAGCCAUGGCGCGGUGAAUACGUUCCCGGGCCUUGUACACACCGCCCGUCAAACAAUGGAAGCUGGGGGUACCUGAAGUAUGUAACCGCAAGGAGCGGCCUAGGGUAAAACUAGUAACUGGUGUUAAGUCGUAACAAGGUAGCCGUACCGGAAGGUGUGGCUG